rnacentral:rRNA from 1 species
UACGGAGGGUGCGAGCGUUAUCCGGAUUUACUGGGUUUAAAGGGUGUGUAGGCGGACUGUUAAGUCAGUGGUGAAAUCCCGGGGCUCAACCCCGGAACUACCAUUGAUACUAUCAGUCUUGAAUACUGUGGAGGUGAGCGGAAUGUGUCAUGUAGCGGUGAAAUGCUUAGAGAUGACACAGAACACCGAUUGCGAAGGCAGCUCACUACGCAGUUAUUGACGCUGAGGCACGAAAGCGUGGGGAUCAAACAGG